CUGAUGGAGCAAUACCACGUGAACGAUGAAGGUCUUCUGAUUGUAAAGUUCUUUUAUUUAGGAAAAAAAGCAGGAUAGGAAAUGAUUCUGCCGUGAUUGUACUAAUUGAAUAAGUGACAGCUAACUAUGUGCCAGCAGCUGCGGUAAAACAUAGGUCACGAGCAUUAUCCGGAUUUAUUGGGCGUAAAGGAAGCGUAGGUGGAGGAGUUGAUCCAUUGUCAAAAGCAUCUGCUUAACAGGUGUUCGCGAUGGAUAUCGCUUCUCUAGAAUUAGUUAGGGGGUACUGGAAUUCAAUGUGUAGCGGUGGAAUGCGUAGAUA
rnacentral:rRNA from 1 species